rnacentral:rRNA from 1 species
AGCUCCAAUAGCGUAUAUUAAAGUUGUUGCAGUUAAAAAGCUCGUAGUUGGAUUUCUGAAGGCGCGACAAUGUCCGCUGAUUGCGUGUGCAGCGUUGCUCUUUCAUCCUUCUGUUAACGUUUCUUGGUAUUCAUUUACUGGUUUCGGGCUCAGAUAUUUUACCUUGAGAAAAUUAGAGUGUUUCAGGCAGGCUUGUGCUGGAAUACAUUAGCAUGGAAUAAUGGAAAAGGACUUUGGUCUCUUUUGUUGGUUUGAGGGACCUCAGUAAUGAUUAAUAGGGAUAGUUGGGGGCAUUAGUAUUUAAUUGUCAGAGGUGAAAUUCUUAGAUUUGUUAAAGACUAACUUAUGCGAAAGCAUUUGCCAAGGAUGUUUUCA